rnacentral:rRNA from 1 species
CGGCACGGGUGAGUAACACGUAUCCAACCUGCCGUCUACUCUUGGCCAGCCUUCUGAAAGGAAGAUUAAUACAAGAUGGCAUCAUGAGUCCGCAUGUUCACAUGAUUAAAGGUAUUCCGGUAGACGAUGGGGAUGCGUUCCAUUAGAUAGUAGGCGGGGUAACGGCCCACCUAGUCUUCGAUGGAUAGGGGUUCUGAGGGGAAGGUCCCCCACAUUGGAACUGAGACACGGUCCAA